UACGUAGGGGGCAAGCGUUAUCCGGAUUUACUGGGUGUAAAGGGAGCGUAGACGGCGAUGCAAGUCUGAAGUGAAAGGCGGGGGCCCAACCCCCGGACUGCUUUGGAAACUGUAUGGCUGGAGUGUAGGAGAGGUAAGUGGAAUUCCUAGUGUAGCGGUGAAAUGCGUAGAUAUUAGGAGGAACACCAGUGGCGAAGGCGGCUUACUGGACUGUAACUGACGUUGAGGCUCGAAAGCGUGGGGAGCAAACAGG
rnacentral:rRNA from 1 species